GCCCGGAUGGCUCAGUCGGGAGAGCAUCAGACUUUUAAUCUGAGGGUCCAGGGUUCAAGUCCCUAUUCGGCCG
rfam:Astyanax mexicanus Tnplaced_Scaffold3421, whole genome shotgun sequence.